rnacentral:rRNA from 1 species
CCUACGGGCGGCAGCAGUGGGGAAUAUUGGACAAUGGGCGAAAGCCUGAUCCAGCCAUGCCGCGUGUGUGAAGAGGGCCUUCGGGUUGUAAAGCACUUUCAGUGGGGAAGAAAGCCUUGGGGCUAAUACCCUCGAGGAAGGACAUCACCCACAGAAGAAGCACCGGCUAACUCCAUGCCAGCAGCCGCGGUAAUACGGAGGGUGCGCGCGUUAAUCGGAAUUACUGGGCGUAAAGCGCGCGUAGGCGGUCUGAUAAGCCGGUUGUGAAAGCCCCGGGCUCAACCUGGGAACGGCAUCCGGAACUGUCAGGCUAGAGUGCAGGAGAGGAAGGUAGAAUUCCCGGUGUAGCGGUGAAAGGCGGAGAGAUCGGGAGGAAUACCAGUGGCGAAGGCGGCCUUCUGGACUGACACUGACGCUGAGGUGCGAAAGCGUGGGUAGCAAACAGGAUUAGAUACCCUAGUAGUC